rnacentral:rRNA from 1 species
AUACGUAGGUGGCAAGCGUUGUCCGGAAUUAUUGGGCGUAAAGCGCGCGCAGGCGGUCCUUUAAGUCUGAUGUGAAAGCCCACGGCUCAACCGUGGAGGGUCAUUGGAAACUGGGGGACUUGAGUGCAGAAGAGGAAAGUGGAAUUCCAAGUGUAGCGGUGAAAUGCGGAGAGAUUUGGAGGAACACCAGUGGCGAAGGCGACUUUCUGGUCUGUAACUGACGCUGAGGCGCGAAAGCGUGGGGAGCAAACAGGAUUAGAUACCCUGGUAGUCCACGCCGUAAACGAUGAGUGCUAAGUGUUAGGGGGUUUCCGCCCCUUAGUGCUGCAGCUAACGCAUUAAGCACUCCGCCUGGGGAGUACGGUCGCAAGACUGAAACUCAAAGGAAUUGACGGGG